AGUGAACGCUGGCGGUAGGCCUAACACAUGCAAGUCGAACGGCAGCACAGUAAGAGCUUGCUCUUACGGGUGGCGAGUGGCGGACGAGUGAGGAAUACAUCGGAAUCUACUUUUUCGUGGGGGAUAACGUAGGGAAACUUACGCUAAUACCGCAUACGACCUACGGGUGAAAGCAGGGGAUCUUCGGACCUUGCGCGAUUGAAUGAGCCGAUGUCGGAUUAGCUAGUUGGCGGGGUAAAGGCCCACCAAGGCGACGAUCCGUAGCUGGUCUGAGAGGAUGAUCAGCCACACUGGAACUGAGACACGGUCCAGACUCCUACGGGAGGCAGCAGUGGGGAAUAUUGGACAAUGGGCGCAAGCCUGAUCCAGCCAUACCGCGUGGGUGAAGAAGGCCUUCGGGUUGUAAGGCCCUUUUGUUGGGAAAGAAAAGCAGCAGGUUAAUACCCCGCUGUUCUGACGGUACCCAAAGAAUAAGCACCGGCUAACUUCGUG
rnacentral:rRNA from 1 species